AUUGAACGCUGGCGGCAUGCUUUACACAUGCAAGUCGAACGGUAACAGGCCGCAAGGUGCUGACGAGUGGCGAACGGGUGAGUAAUGCAUCGGAACGUGCCCAGUCGUGGGGGAUAACGCAGCGAAAGCUGUGCUAAUACCGCAUACGAUCUGUGGAUGAAAGCGGGGGACCGAAAGGCCUCGCGCGAUCGGAGCGGCCGAUGUCAGAUUAGGUAGUUGGUGGGGUAAAGGCUCACCAAGCCAACGAUCUGUAGCUGGUCUGGGAGGACGACCAGCCACACGGGGACGGAGACACGGCCCGUAUUCCUACGGGAGGCAGCAGUGGGGAGUUUUGGACAAUGGGCGCAAGCCUGAUCCAGGAAUGCCGCGUGCAGGAAGAAGGCCUUCGGGUUGUAAACUGCUUUUGUACGGAGCGAAAAGGCUCUCUCUAAUACAGGGGGCUCAUGACGGUACCGUAAGAAUAAGCACCGGCUAACUACGUACCAGCAGCCGCCGUAACAC
rnacentral:rRNA from 1 species